rnacentral:rRNA from 1 species
UAAGCGACUAAGCGUACACGGUGGAUGCCCUGGCAGUCAGAGGCGAUGAAGGACGUGCUAAUCUGCGAUAAGCGUCGGUAAGGUGAUAUGAACCGUUAUAACCGGCGAUUUCCGAAUGGGGAAACCCAGUGUGAUUCGUCACACUAUCAUUAACUGAAUCCAUAGGUUAAUGAGGCGAACCGGGGGAACUGAAACAUCUAAGUACCCCGAGGAAAAGAAAUCAACCGAGAUUCCCCCAGUAGCGGCGAGCGAACGGGGAGGAGCCCAGAGCCUGAAUCAGUGUGUGUGUUAGUGGAAGCGUCUGGAAAGGCGCGCGAUACAGGGUGACAGCCCCGUACACAAAAAUGCACAUGCUGUGAGCUCGAUGAGUAGGGCGGGACACGUGGUAUCCUGUCUGAAUAUGGGGGACCAUCCUCCAAGGCUAAAUACUCCUGACUGACCGAUAGUGAACCAGUACCGUGAGGGAAAGGCGAAAAGACCCCGGCGAGGGGAGUGAAAAAGACCUGAAACCGUGUACGUACAAGCAGUGGGAGCACAGAGCAAUCUGUGUGACUGCGUACCUUUUGUAUAAUGGGUCAGCGACUUAUAUUCUGUAGCAAGGUUAACCGAAUAGGGGAGCCGAAGGGAAACCGAGUCUUAACCGGGCGUUAAGUUGCAGGGUAUAGACCCGAAACCCGGUGAUCUAGCCAUGGGCAGGUUGAAGGUUGGGUAACACUAACUGGAGGACCGAACCGACUAAUGUUGAAAAAUUAGCGGAUGACUUGUGGCUGGGGGUGAAAGGCCAAUCAAACCGGGAGAUAGCUGGUUCUCCCCGAAAGCUAUUUAGGUAGCGCCUCGUGAAUUCAUCUCCGGGGGUAGAGCACUGUUUCGGCAAGGGGGUCAUCCCGACUUACCAACCCGAUGCAAACUGCGAAUACCGGAGAAUGUUAUCACGGGAGACACACGGCGGGUGCUAACGUCCGUCGUGAAGAGGGAAACAACCCAGACCGCCAGCUAAGGUCCCAAAGUCAUGGUUAAGUGGGAAACGAUGUGGGAAGGCCCAGACAGCCAGGAUGUUGGCUUAGAAGCAGCCAUCAUUUAAAGAAAGCGUAAUAGCUCACUGGUCGAGUCGGCCUGCGCGGAAGAUGUAACGGGGCUAAACCAUGCACCGAAGCUGCGGCAGCGACACUGUGUGUUGUUGGGUAGGGGAGCGUUCUGUAAGCCUGUGAAGGUGUACUGUGAGGUAUGCUGGAGGUAUCAGAAGUGCGAAUGCUGACAUAAGUAACGAUAAAGCGGGUGAAAAGCCCGCUCGCCGGAAGACCAAGGGUUCCUGUCCAACGUUAAUCGGGGCAGGGUGAGUCGACCCCUAAGGCGAGGCCGAAAGGCGUAGUCGAUGGGAAACAGGUUAAUAUUCCUGUACUUGGUGUUACUGCGAAGGGGGGACGGAGAAGGCUAUGUUGGCCGGGCGACGGUUGUCCCGGUUUAAGCGUGUAGGCUGGUUUUCCAGGCAAAUCCGGAAAAUCAAGGCUGAGGCGUGAUGACGAGGCACUACGGUGCUGAAGCAACAAAUGCCCUGCUUCCAGGAAAAGCCUCUAAGCAUCAGGUAACAUCAAAUCGUACCCCAAACCGACACAGGUGGUCAGGUAGAGAAUACCAAGGCGCUUGAGAGAGCUCGGGUGAAGGAACUAGGCAAAAUGGUGCCGUAACUUCGGGAGAAGGCACGCUGAUAUGUAGGUGAAGUCCCUCGCGGAUGGAGCUGAAAUCAGUCGAAGAUACCAGCUGGCUGCAACUGUUUAUUAAAAACACAGCACUGUGCAAACACGAAAGUGGACGUAUACGGUGUGACGCCUGCCCGGUGCCGGAAGGUUAAUUGAUGGGGUCAGCGCAAGCGAAGCUCUUGAUCGAAGCCCCGGUAAACGGCGGCCGUAACUAUAACGGUCCUAAGGUAGCGAAAUUCCUUGUCGGGUAAGUUCCGACCUGCACGAAUGGCGUAAUGAUGGCCAGGCUGUCUCCACCCGAGACUCAGUGAAAUUGAACUCGCUGUGAAGAUGCAGUGUACCCGCGGCAAGACGGAAAGACCCCGUGAACCUUUACUAUAGCUUGACACUGAACAUUGAGCCUUGAUGUAUAGGAUAGGUGGGAGGCUUUGAAGUGUGGACGCCAGUCUGCAUGGAGCCGACCUUGAAAUACCACCCUUUAAUGUUUGAUGUUCUAACGUGGACCCGUGAUCCGGGUUGCGGACAGUGUCUGGUGGGUAGUUUGACUGGGGCGGUCUCCUCCUAAAGAGUAACGGAGGAGCACGAAGGUUGGCUAAUCCUGGUCGGACAUCAGGAGGUUAGUGCAAUGGCAUAAGCCAGCUUGACUGCGAGCGUGACGGCGCGAGCAGGUGCGAAAGCAGGUCAUAGUGAUCCGGUGGUUCUGAAUGGAAGGGCCAUCGCUCAACGGAUAAAAGGUACUCCGGGGAUAACAGGCUGAUACCGCCCAAGAGUUCAUAUCGACGGCGGUGUUUGGCACCUCGAUGUCGGCUCAUCACAUCCUGGGGCUGAAGUAGGUCCCAAGGGUAUGGCUGUUCGCCAUUUAAAGUGGUACGCGAGCUGGGUUUAGAACGUCGUGAGACAGUUCGGUCCCUAUCUGCCGUGGGCGCUGGAGAACUGAGGGGGGCUGCUCCUAGUACGAGAGGACCGGAGUGGACGCAUCACUGGUGUUCGGGUUGUCAUGCCAAUGGCACUGCCCGGUAGCUAAAUGCGGAAGAGAUAAGUGCUGAAAGCAUCUAAGCACGAAACUUGCCCCGAGAUGAGUUCUCCCUGACCCUUUAAGGGUCCUGAAGGAACGUUGAAGACGACGACGUUGAUAGGCCGGGUGUGUAAGCGCAGCGAUGCGUUGAGCUAACCGGUACUAAUGAACCGUGAGGCUUAACCU